GAUGAACGCUGGCGGCGUGCCUAAUACAUGCAAGUCGAGCGAACGGACGAGAAGCUUGCUUCUCUGAUGUUAGCGGCGGACGGGUGAGUAACACGUGGAUAACCUACCUAUAAGACUGGGAUAACUUCGGGAAACCGGAGCUAAUACCGGAUAAUAUUUUGAACCGCAUGGUCCAAAAGUGAAAGACGGUCUUGCUGUCACUUAUAGAUGGAUCCGCGCUGCAUUAGCUAGUUGGUAAGGUAACGGCUUACCAAGGCAACGAUGCAUAGCCGACCUGAGAGGGUGAUCGGCCACACUGGAACUGAGACACGGUCCAGACUCCUACGGGAGGCAGCAGUAGGGAAUCUUCCGCAAUGGGCGAAAGCCUGACGGAGCAACGCCGCGUGAGUGAUGAAGGUCUUCGGAUCGUAAAACUCUGUUAUUAGGGAAGAACAUAUGUGUAAGUAACUGUGCACAUCUUGACGGUACCUAAUCAGAAAGCCACGGCUAACUACGUG
rnacentral:rRNA from 1 species